rfam:Neurospora crassa OR74A unplaced genomic scaffold supercont12.8, whole genome shotgun sequence.
UACUUGGUUAAUUCUAUUAAUAGUUAUAUAUUUGUUUUAAAAAUUAAAUUAUAUAUAUUUAAAUUUAAAUAAUUAAAUUAUAAAAUUAUAAAUAAUUUAUUAAAUUAGUUAUAGUUUAUUUAAUAGUACUUUACUAUAUAGAUAACCGUGGUAAUUCUAGAGUUAAUAUAUAUUAAAAACCCUAAUUUCGGAAGGGGUAUAUUUAUUAAAUUAAAAAUUAAUACCCUUCGGGGCUAAUUAGUAAUUUAUAAUAAUUUUUCGAAUUGUAUAGUUUUAUAUUAGCGAUAGUUUAUUUAAAUUUCUAUUUUAUUAACUUUUAAUGGCUAGGUUUUAGUUAAUUAUAGUAAUAAUGGGUAAUGGAGGGUUAGGGCUCGACCCUGGAAAAGGAAUUUAAAAAACGGCUACUAUAUUUAAGGAAGGUAGUAGGUACGUAAAUUACCUAAUUCCGAUAUAGGGAGGUAGUAAUAAUAAAUACUAAUAUAGGGCUCUUUUGGGUUUUGUAAUUAGAAUAAAUAUAAUUUAAAUCCCUUAACGAAGAAUAAUUGGAGGGCAAGUCUGGUACUAGCAGCUGCGGUAAUUCCAAUUCCAAUAGUAUAUAUUAAAAUUAUUAAGGUUAAAAAGCUCGUAAUUGAACCUUAGGCUCGGCCUAUUAGUCCGCCUUACUACGUAUAUUAAUUAGGUUGGGCCUUUUUUCUUAGAGAACUGUAUACCUUUUACUAGGUAUAUCGGGGAAUUAGGACUUUUAUUAUAAAUAAAUUAAAUUAUUUAAAGAAGGCCUAUAUUCGAAUAUAUUAGUAUAGAAUAAUAGAAUAGAACGUAUAGUUCUAUUUUAUUAGUUUCUAAGACCGCCGUAAUAAUUAAUAGGAAUAGUCGGGGGUAUUAGUAUUUAAUUAUUAGAGGUGAAAUUCUUGGAUUUAUUAAAGAUUAAUUACUACGAAAGUAUUUACUAAGGAUAUUUUUAUUAAUUAGGAACGAAAGUUAAAGGAUCGAAGACGAUUAAAUACUAUUGUAGUCUUAAUUAUAAACUAUACUAAUUAAGGAUUGGACGGUAUUAUUUUUUAACCCGUUCGGCACUUUAUAAUAAAUUAAAAUAUUUGGGCUCUUAAGGGAAUAUAGUCGCAAGGCUAAAAUUUAAAGAAAUUGACGGAAGGGCACCACCAGGGGUAGAGCCUAUAGUUUAAUUUAAUUUAAUAUAGGGAAAUUUACUAAGUCUAAAUAUAAUAAGGAUUAAUAAAUUGAAAGCUCUUUCUUAAUUUUGUAGGUAGUAGUAUAUGGCCGUUCUUAAUUAGUAGAGUAAUUUAUUUAUUUAAUUACAAUAACGAAUAAGACUUUAAUUUACUAAAUAACCUAUAUUACUUUAGUAAUACGCUAGCUUUUUAGAGGGACUAUCGGUUUAAACCGAUAGAAGUUUAAAGUAAUAAUAGGUCUAUAAUGCCCUUAGAUAUUUUAGGCUGUAUAUAUAUUAUAUUAAUAUAAUUAGCGAAUAUUCCCUUAACUAGAAGGUUUGGGUAAUUUUAUUAAAUUGUAUUAUAUUAGGAAUAAAAUAUUACAAUUAUUAUUCUUCAACGAAGAAUCCCUAAUAAGUGUAAAUUAUUAAUUUACGUUAAUUACGUUCUUACCCUUUAUAUAUACUACCUAUCGCUACUAUUAAUUAAAUAAUUUAGUAAAACUUCCGGAUUAACCUAAAGAAGUUAGUAACAACUACCUAGGGCCGGAAAGUUAUCCAAACUCGGUUAUUUAGAAGAAGUAAAAGUUGUAAUAAAGUCUCCAUUAGUAAAUUAGUAAAGGGAUUAUUA